UUCGGCGAGUGAAGAGGGAAAAGCCCAAAUUUGUAAUCUGGCUCUUUCAGAGUCCGAGUUGUAAUUUUAAGAACUGUUUUCCGUGCUGGACCAUGUACAAGUCUGUUGAAAAACAGCAUCAUUGAGGGUGAAAAUCCCGUACAUGAUAUGGACUACCAGUGCAAUGUGAUACAGUCUCUAAGAGUCGAGUUGUUUGGGAAUGCAGCUCAAAGUGGGUGGUAAAUUCCAUCUAAGGCUAAAUAUAGGUGAGAGACCGAUAGCAAACAAGUACCGUGAGGGAAAGAUGAAAAGAACUUUGGAAAGAGAGUUAACAGUACGUGAAAUUGUUAAAAGGGAAACAUUUGAAGUUAGACUUGUUAUUGUUGGUUCAACUUCUUUAUUGAGGUGUAUUCCAAUGGUUAACAGACCAGCAUCAAUUUUUGGGUGUUGGAUAAGGGUUUAGGAAAUGUAGCAACCUUGGUUGUGUUAUAGUCCUUUACUUUGAUACAAUGCUUAGGAUUGAGGAACGCAGUAAGCUUUGUAGCAGAUUUCUUUGGAAAUCUUCUUACUA
rnacentral:rRNA from 1 species